AAAAUGCUGAAAACAAAGCAAAGAAAACAUCUUUAAAGCACCAAGAGAAAAAGAACUCAUCACUUAAAAGGGAGCCCCAACUAGAUUAAUGGCUGACUUCACAUCAGAAACAAUGGAGGCCAGAAGGGAGUGGGGAGACAAAUUCCAAGUCCUGAAAGACAAAUGCCUUUUAACCAAGAAUCCUACACCCAGCCAGAGUGGCUUUAAAAAAUGAAAGCUAGGGGCACCUGGGUGGCCCAGUCAGUUGAGUAUUUAGCUCAGGUCAUGAUCUCAGUUCGUGAGUUCAAGCCCCGCAUUGGGCUCUGUGCUGACAGCUCAGGGCCUGGAGCCUGCUUCACAUUCUGUGUCUCCCUCUCUCUGUCCCUCCCCUGCUUGUGCUCUUGCUCUCUCUCUCUCUUUCUCUCUCUCUCUCUCAAAAGUAAAUAAAAAUUAAAAGGGUUUUUUUUUUUAAUGAAGGCUAAAUAAAGCCUUGUUUAUUCCAAGAUAAACAACUGAGAGGCUUUGUCACCAGUUUGAAGAGAUUACUAAUUUCUUCAAGCUGAAAGCAAAUGACCCCUAAUUGUAAUUUUGAUAUACAUUAAAAACAGCACCUGUAAAAGUAACUAUGUAAUUAUAAAAUACAAUACAAAUGCACAUUUUUCUACUUUGUUGUCUUAUGUUAAAAGCAUUUCUAUAAAACAUGUAAAUAAUGUGUUAGAAAAAUAAUAUAAAAUGUUAAUAUGUAAUAUUACUAUAUUGGUAACAGCACAAAAGAACAAAAGAGGUGGGAGGAAACAAUGCUGCUGUAGUAGGGAGAUAAGGAAAUGAGCCCAGAUGGUUACUCAAAACCACAGGAACAAAUAAGAACCAGAAUAAUAAGAAAAUACAACAAAAUCUAUAAAUCUAUACAUAUUCUAAUAGCUUUAAAACACAAUUAUAGAAAGUAAUGAUCAUAGCAAGGUAUUGUAGAGUUGUAACACAGAUGUAGUAUGUAGAGAUAUAGACACAGAUGUAGUAAAACAGUAAUACAUCAAAAAUGGAGAAAAGAGAAUAAACCCAUAGGGAGUCUAACAUUUCUGUCUUAUUGGAUUUAAGUUAGCAUAAAUCUGAAACUGCUUCUGAUAAGCUCCAGAACAAGAUUUAUGUAAUCAAAAACUAAAUAACUAGGGGCGCCUGCGUGGCUCAGUCGGUUGAGCAUCCAACUUCGGCUCAGGUCAUGAUCUCAUGGUUCGUGAGUUCGAGCCCCACGUUGGGCUCUGUGAUGACAGCUCAGAGCCUGGAGCCUACUUCAGAUUCUGUGUGUCCUUCUCUCUCUGCCCCUCCCCACUCAUGCUCUGUCUCUCUCUCUCUCUGUGUCAAAAAUAAACAUUAAAAAAAAUUUUUAAUAAAAAAAACCUAAAUAAAACAAUAUAGCAAGAAGUCACUGGAUACAUUAAAAUAUUACAAAGUAUUCACUUAAAGGAUGUGGUAAAUUAGAAAUAGAGGAAGAAAAAGGACAUAAUAGACAUAGAAACCAAAUGUACAAUAGCAGACAAGAAUCCAACCUUGUUACCACUAUUCAUCUAACUGGGGAGCUUUUUAAAAAGAGAGAAGAAACAGCAGCAGACACACUCCUGGUGGCCUGGAAAAAAAAAAUCAUACAACCAUGUUGUGAGCUAUGGUUGGGGCUAUGUGGCUAGUACCUCAGGGUGGCCUCUAGGAGAUGAAAAUGACACUGAGUCAACAGCCAGCAAGAAAAUGGGAACUUAGGGCACCUGGAUGACUCAGUCAGUUAAGCACCUGACUCCUGAUCUCAGCUCAGGUCAUGAUCUCACAGUUUGUGAGAUCGAGCCCCAUGUUGGGCUCUGUGCUGACAGUGCAGUGCCUGCUUAGGAAUCUCUCUGUCCCUCUCUCUCUGCCCCUACCCUGUACAUGCUCUCUCAAAAUAAAUAAAUUAAAAAAAAAAAACACAUAAUUUUAAAAUGGGAUCUCAGUCACACACCUGAAGGGAACUGAAUUGUGCCAACAACCCAAGUGAGAUUGGAAGAGAAUCUCUACCUCCAGAUGAAAUCACAGCCCCAACAAGCACUGGUUUUCAGCCUUCUGAGAACCCAUAUAUAUAUACUAUCCCCAGACUUCUGACAGACUGAAACAAAAAUGAGUAUUAUCAAGAUAAAUUUGUGGUAAUUUCUUGUGCAGCAGUAGAAAAUAAAUACAUUAUCCAAUCAUUGAACUAACUAUUGGCCAUUCUUGUCAGAAAGGUGGAUCACAAAUGGUUCACAUUCACUUGGGAUGGAGAUUUUGCGUCUAAAAAAUUUUUUUUAAUGUUUAUUUAUUUUUGAGAGAGAGAGACAGCUCAAGCGGGAGAGGGGCAGAGAGAGAGGGAGACACAGAAUCUGAAGCAGGUUCCAGGCUCUGAGCUAUCAGCACAGAGCCCGACAUGGGGCUCGAACCCACAAACUAUGAGAUCAUGACUUGAGGCAAAGUUGGACGCUUAACCAACUGAGCCACCCAGGUGCCCCUGGAUAUUACACAUUUUUAUUCUGGCUCUACAACUAAGUUAUUUUAGCUUCCUUCUGUCAUAUUUCAAAGAGAUCUGGACCAGUUGGACAUCCCACAGACUACAUACUGGUCCACUACACGACUGAAAUCAUCCUAAUCAGACUGGUUUAGCAAAAGAUAGUAACCAGAUCGGAGGGUUUGGUAAAACACAACAAAACAGAUAAAUAUUAUGAAGAUUAAAAUGUCACCACAGCAGUGAUAAUAUUGGGGUUAUAGUGGUUUGAGGCAUUCCAGAAUAUUCCCUCUGAAAUAAUGGAUACAGUAUUGCAUCUUGCACUUCCCACCAUCAAGAAGCAUUAAUGACUGGUUGGCCUCUUUGGAUUUUAGAUGUGGCAGAUUCCACAACCAAGGAAACUCCACGAUAGGAAACAUGCAAUGUAGACCUCUCUGGUUCUGGAGCAUGCCAUGCCAUCUUCAGAGAAGAACUAUAAAACUUUUGAAAACAUUAAGAAACAGCAAACAUGACCAUGAUCCACCAGCUUCUUAAUGAAAUUUUUAGUCCUCAACAAAAACUAGUAUCAUCUAUGGACAGAUUCUUUACUUUUCUUCACAAUUGGCUGCCUUUUCUUUUUCUUGCCUGAUUGCUCUAGCUAGAACUUCUAAUACUGUGCUGAAUAGAAAGGUCAAAAAUGGGCAUCUUAAUAUUCCUCCUGAUCUUACAAGGAAAGCUUUCAGCCUUUCACUAUUGAAUAUGAUGUUAGCAGCAGGUUUUUCAUAUAAUGGUCCUUACCAUGUUGAGGAAGUUUCCUUCUGCUUUUAAUUCAAUUAUGGUUUUGUUUUGUUUUUUAACCAUGAAAGGGUGUUGAAUUUUGCCAUAUGCUUUUUCUGCAUCAAAUGAGGUAAUCAUGUAUUUUUCCACAUUCUAUCAUGUGGUAUAUUAUAUUUGGUUUUCACAUAAUGAACAAUCCUUGUAUCUUAUGAAUAAAAACCACUUGUUCAUGGUGUACAAUCCUUUUAAUAUCCUGCCAAAUUUGAUUUGCUAGUAUUUUUAUGACAGAUUUUACAAUAUUUCUAAGUAUAUCACUCUAUAGUUUUCCUUUUUUGUAGUGCCUUUGUCCUGGCUCUUUGACAAAUCAAGGUAAUGCUGGCUUCAUAAAAUGAACUAGGAAGUAUUUCCUCCUUGAUUUUUCUGAAAGAGUUUGAAAAGGACUAGUGUGAACUCUUCUUUGGUAGAAUUCACCAGUGAAGCCAUUUGGUCCUAAGCUUUUCUUUUUUGAAAAGUUUUUGAUUACUGAUUCAAUCUCCUUGCUGGUUAUAGUGCUAUUCAUAUUUUCUAUUUCUUCAUGAGUCCUAUUUGGUGGAUUGGGUGUUUCUAGGAUUUUGUCCAUUAUAUCUAGGUGAUCUAAUUUGGUGUUAUACAACUGUUUAUAGCAUUCUAUUACAAUAGUAUUUAUUUUUGUAAAAUCAAUAGUAAUGUUCCACUUUCUAUUGUUUUUAGUAAUUUGAGUAACAUCUUUUUCUUAGUCAAUAUAAUGGUUUUGGGGGCACCUGCAUGGCUCAGUUGGUUAAACAUCCAACUCUUCUUGAUUUCAGCUCAGGUCAUCAUCUCAUGGUUCAUGGGUUUGAGCCCCGUGUUGGGCUCUGUGCUGACAGUGGGGAGCCUGCUUGGGGUUCCCUGUCUCCCUCUCUCUCUGUCCCUCCCCACUCCUCUCUCUCAAAAAUAAAAUAAACACCAUAUAUGUAUAUUGUUUUCCUAUUUCUAUUUCAUUUAUCUUUGCUCUAAUCUUUAUUAUUUCCUUCCUUCUGCUAGUUUGGGUUUAGUUUGUUCUUUUUCUGGUUCCUUAAGGUGUUAAAGUUAAGUUGGUGAUUUGAGAUCUUUAAAAAAAUUGUUUUAAUGUUUAUUUAUUUUUGAGAGAUAGAGCACAAGCAGGAGAUGGGCGGAGAGAGAGGGAGACACAGAAUCCAAAGCAGCCUCCAGGCUGUGAGCUGUCAGCACAGACCCCAAUGUGGGGCUCAAACUCACAAACUGUGAGAUCAUGACCUGAGCUGAAAUUGGACGCUCAACCAACUGAGCCACCCAGGCGCCCCUGAGAUCUUUUCAAUAGAGAGCAAGAAGGCACAAGCGAGCAAGGGACAGAGAGAGAGAAAAGGAGCUCUCCAGAAGCAGGGUUCGAGCUCAUCCGAAGCAGGGUUCGUGCUCACCUGAAGCGGGGCUUGAGCUCACCCAAAGCAGGGCUCAAGUUCACCCUAUGCGGGACUUGAACUCACGAGCCAUGAGAUCAUGACCUGAGCCAAAGUCAGAUACCUAACCGACUGAGCCACCCAGAUGCCUAUCUUGUAACAAUUCUUAAAUUAAAAUGUAUUUUGAUUGAUUUAGUAAAGGAACACCUUCUACCUUUUA